UGCUUUGCGUGGUGGCAGUAUCGUAGCCAAUGAGGUUUAACCGGGGCAUGAUUAUUGCUAAUUGAUUAUUCUAGGUACUGCAUAAAAGUGGAAUAUACAGUGUUUGUCUUUUUAUGACUGGCUUAUUUAUUAUUAU
ensembl:snRNA U4 U4 spliceosomal RNA